UUGGGCUAGAUUUCCAGGGACUGCUACCAUCACUUUUUGAAGAGGCAGUUCUCAACUUGUUCGCAAAAAAUAUGAGUACAGCAGUUGAAAAUUUUCAGUUGGUCUUGGAUUCACAUCGUUGGGUCCCACUACCAGCAGUUGGUUUUCCAGCAAAUAGUGUUAAUGAUGAAAGUCUGGAUGAUGUAACUCCGCCAUCUUAUCUUAUGGAACAUCCACCUCUUGCUGUUUUUGUUAAUG